UAGGGAUCUGGGGCAAAAAAAAAUGGGGAUUGUUCCUGCUUUGAGCAGGGGGUUGGACUAGAUGACCUCCUGAGGUCCCUUCCAACCCUGAUAUUCUAUGAUACCUGCAUGCAUCAGCUCCAACUUGUAAGAUGAAGACAGAGAAACCAAGGAAGAAGAGACUUCACUGAUGUGCUCAAGAUGGAAAACUGCAUUACAACUGUACAGAAUUCAUCCUCUCACCCCACGAGAACUAAUAUACAAGCUCUGUUGACCUGAAGGCUGUUAAAGCACCGUUUGGUGGCUCCGAAUAGUGUUACAGCUGGGACAUUUAUUGCUGCAAGGAGUCAAACCCAGGAGAAAGAUGCUGUCCACAACAAUCACUCAGAUAAGUCUACUUGUAGUAUAGGAGUCAGCAACUAGAUGUCCCCGCAUACCAUGUAGAGUUGCAGACGGGAUGCAGAAGUCUAGUCCAGAAUUUAAGGGGUGGUAGCACAAGGUAGCUCGGCAUGAACACGGACUAAAUUGGCCAAGUUUAAAAUCUGUUUGUCUAGACCAGACUUGAAAUGUGUUAGGACAUGUUAAUUAAUGCAUGGUAACUAGGGCAGGCUGGAAACCAGAAUUCCAUUUUGCAAAAUCUUGUGAGGUUUUGACAUUUGUUUGCCUUCUGAAGAGGAAAGAAACCAAGACCCUUCCUUUUUUUUUUUUGUUUAAAAAAAAAUAGAAAAAGAGAGAGGCCCAGCCCAAAGUAACCAAUAGUCCAGUGGUUAGAGCACAUCCCUGGAUGUGAGAGGCUCAACUUCAAAUCCCAGCUCCGCCUGAUAAACUCAGGAGAGGCUGAGAGAGACGCACAGACUCUGUAGCCCUGUGCUUAAGGCACUCACCUGGGCUAUAGGAGACCUGCAGUCAAAUCCCUGCUCUGAAUUUGGCAGAACAUGGAUUUGAACCUGGGACUACCAGCGAAUGUCCUCUCAGUGGGUAUUGGCUAUUCUGAGGUGGGUCUCUCCCCCCACUCUCCUUCAUUUUGACCAGAGAUUCCAUCCUGGACCCUAGAAAUCUUUUUGGUGAAAGUUUUAUCAAACUGAUAAACUGUUUGUUGGUUCUGAUGAAGAAUUCCUGACUAGCUGUAAUGCUGAUUACCAUCACGCCUUUAAGUCUUUAGUUAGGAAAGGCCUGUGUGACCAACUGACUCCUGGGAGGGGUAGAAUGGAUAUUUUAAAACCAUCUUCACAAUGAUAUUGGUCAGAUCCUCAGCUGGCAUAGCUCAAUUUAAAUAGUAAAUAGAGCUAUGAUGUUUUACAGAGGCUGAGGAUCUGGUCUGUAAAGAGUAAUGCUGUGGUUCAUACUAGAUAACUUUCUUGAGAUGAAACAAAGUAACAAGUGUCCAAAGUAUGCAGGCUUCGUAGGGCCAGGCUCCCAUGGGAAGCCAAAGAGAACUCUGCUCCAUUUAAAGCCCUGCCAAAUUUGGCUCACAGAAAGGACAAGUAUGAAGUCCUCAUGAGAGAUCAGUGACCCACCAGCAUUCUGCAUCUGAACUGAAACAAGAUGGCAGCUGGCCUGGCAGCAAGCCAGGAGUCUCCUCUUCGUACAUUGAAGGGUACCGUACUCCCAUUACAGGACAACUCUGUUUUGCAUACUGUAGUAUCCAGAGCCUUAAAAGCCAAAGUGCAGUUCAGCUCAAAUUAGUGUCAAGUUCACUGUAAAUCUAUUAAUUUAGUUACUCUGGAUUUACAUCAGUAACUGAGCAGAAUGUGGCCCAUUGUUUGUCCAACAUUUUCUGGUUCGCAGUGUAUCUCAGCAGCCAGCAUACUGUAACUAUGUAUGUUGCUUUGAUAUUAACUGGAUAAAGAAACAAUCAUUUAAUGUACUGUUUCUCAUCAUCAAAUUGACAUAUGCUCAACACUCGACUGGUGUGUGUGUGAUUAUAUAUGCUAGUUUCACAAAAACUUCAGAAACUGGUCUACUUUUGGCUUUAGCUUUUCCUGUCUGAGCUGCUUUUCUCAGGGGAAGUUAUGCACACAAUCUGCUCUGCCCAUCUUUGUAUUCCACAUUGAACUAAGUCCUGUGUUCAUUUAAUUAUGCUUUUUUUUAAAAUUUGCUGCUACCGUAGUGCAUAAGCUUCUCUGUUAACUCUCAGUAACUUCAAAAACAAGACGGUCAGCUUUCAAAUUGUAAUGGUGCUAGAAUUCUAUCCAGUUUGAUUUCAACAAUUCUAUACACAUGGGAGGCGGGUGAACCACGGGCUCGGGGAGGUUGGCUCGGCCUGCCCCUUCUGCCCGAGGCCCCACCCUGCAUGGCUGCUAGCCUCCCUUCCCCAGCUCUGGAGCUCUAGGCAGGUGGGUGGGUGAUGUGCUCCUACCCCCCAGCCCCGGAGCACAGGCCAGCCCCCUUUAGCCCAGUUACAUUUUAUUCACACUCAUUAGCAUAUUGCCAUAAAACACAUGGAGUGCAACAUCACAGGUGGCAAAUACAGCAGUAUUUUAAAAUGGAUUUACAUUGAGGAAGCCAUGCAUGUGCUUAUAAAGUGAAAUCCUUGUGGCUAUUGGUAAUGACACGCACUCUGGAUUGGUGGAAAGCAGUACUGACAGGCCUACUAAUGAAGAUUUAUUUGGGUGGGUUGAGUUAGUCAGAUUUUACUAAUUUCUGCUAUUGAUGUCUCUAUGAGGGCAGUGAGUAUUUAAAAGCAAAAUUCUAAGGGACAAAUUAAAGUUAAUUUGCUCAGUUCUGCACCAAUAAGGAGCAUUAUAAAUUAUAUUGUUAAAUGUAAUCUUCAUUUCAUAUAUAUAAAGACCCCAUUCUGUCCUCGGAGUUGAGAAGAUUAAUAUCAUGUGCUGCUUUAAUAUAAUAUGUUUGUGGUAAAAGUCACGAGGUCUGUUCCUUUUGCUCCUUUCAGAAUUAUAGUGCAAACCUACAAAAAUACCAGCCAUUCUGAGUUGACCUGUAGAGCGUGUAUAGCACAGGACAUGCUUAUGUCGAGCACUCUGUCCCUGAAACUGUGGGGGAAAACAGCCUGACUCUGUUUAUAUCUCUCCUUUAUAGAAUAAAGGAUGCAGACAGGCACUGUAGCUAAUUUAGCAUUAAUUUCCAGCUAUUUACCUCAGUAUCUGAUGCAUGAAGAGAGAUUUAGCCGUGUGACUUCUGUAAGAGUCAGUGAGUCUCAUGACUAGACCAGUGCAUGAUGCUUAUACUAUAGGAGUGAGAGAGCGAUCUGUCUUACAGAUUUAGGCAAGUAACAAACCUUUGUCUUCCUGACUACUCUGUUGGGAACAGCUUUGUGACUUCACUGAGCACAUUAACCAUCUGCACAAACAAAACCCCCAACACCUAGCAUAAUUGACUUAUUCAAGCCCUCAAAUUCUAGCUUGAAAGUGUUUCAUUCUUAUCUCAUUAAUUCCAAGUUAGUAGCAGUAUAAAAACCUCAAUUAUCACAAUUCAAUUGGAGCAAGAGUCCUUCACUUUGAUUUAGAAGCUGACAAUUUGAGGCCCUGGCUAAAGUUUGAAAUCAGAGUAGAAAAUGAUGAGAGAGAGUUUUACAUUUGAUCACAGUAGAAUGACAAACCCAAUACUACAUCUUCAAUCACUGAGAAUUCAAAUUAAAAUUAGCUUGGUUUUCAAAGGUGCUGAACACCUGCGUUUCCCUUUGAAGUCCAUGGGUUUUGUGGGUGCUCAGCACUUCUGAAAGUGAGGCUUUGGAAGCCUAACUUCAGGCACCAAUUUCUGAGUGCUGGUCAUGCUGUCAUAAUACAUUCUCCAGUUGAGGUAGUAAGAGCUCUCUGCUGUAGCUGAUGCUGGGAGGUUUAGUCCCCAAAACAACCUUAUCCUCCAUUUCAUUAAGGCUUUUUUGUGCUGUUCUGGCAAGUUGUAAAGUAGGUUGAACGAUUCUGUGUAUGGGAUAGUCUCAGAGAGCCUUCCCAGUCAGUGCACAGCUGGCACGUGGGUCUUAUGCCCAUCCUGCUCCCAGCAUGGGUGGAUUGAGGUGUGGCUAGAGUAUAGUGCACAUUUGCUGUUCGCUUCUUUUCAUGGAUGUUCUAAGGCAGUAGUACUCUGAAGCCCAUGAGCCACAAGUGUCUCUUUAAUGUGUCUCCUGCAGCUCUUUGUAGCACAGGAUAUUAAAACACUGUGACUUAAUUAUUAACCAAUCGGGAUGCUUUUAUUAUGUCAUUAACCAAUUAAGUCAUCAACUUGCAUUGCAUUAUUAACUUAUUUGCUGUGAGAAUACGAUACUAUUACUAUAGUAAAUGAAACAAUGAAUUCACAGUACGGUGGCUCUUUUGGGUAAUGUUGAGUGCUAAUUUGGCUCCUGAACCACUGAGAUCUGAGUAUUCCUGCUCUAAGGUUUCUCUGUGCUGCGAUUCUAGGUGUGAUGGGAGCACAGGAAGACACACCUGCACUUUCUCUGCUAAAAAAGAGUGGUGUCGACAUGGUAGCACGGGCUUCAGUGUGGGCUAUAUAAGCAUGCUGGGGGCCCUAGGUAUGUUCUCGCAUUGCUAGCCUGUGCUGAAGCACCAGCUUUGUUAUUUUUAGCGGUGCUAGCAUGGGUGAAUGGAGCAUCGGUAUAUGUCUGCUUGAGCUGCAAUCACACGCUGGACUGAAGCGUAGACAUGCCUGAGGUUGACACAGAGACAGGACAGGCCCCUGCACAGCCCCAAAUGCAAAAGGUAACUUUAUAGCUAAACCCACCAGCCUCUCCACCCAGUGCAGAAGCAGAGUAAUUAAGAAUCAUGCUCCUGAAGUCUGUCAGCAGCAACAGGGAUACAAAUGCAUACUGUGCAGUGAUGGAUGCAACUCGGGAAAUAACCUGCUCUAGUUAAGGGCAAAGGCUCCAGAUUUGGAUGAGCGGCUGCGUGGCAGUUUGGAAGUCCCACAAGAUUGCCCAGAUUCCAUCAGGGUCAGAAACAGCCUCUCGUCGUAUUUCGGCAUCUCUGCUUCAAGCCCUUGACUGAGGCAGGAAGUUGGUGUUUGGGGAAAUUAAGCAUACAGCUGGAAAUAGGGCAAGGCACACAAACUGUGAUAUUUCUUUGGGCAGGAAUGUUUGUUUCAGCCAUAUCCUCUACUCCAGGGGUUCUCAACCUUUUUCUUUCUGAGCCCUCCCUCCCACGUUAUAUGUGCUGUGCCACAACAACUGGUUUUCUGCAUAUAAAACCCAGGGCUGGCAUUAGGGAGUAGCAAGCAGGACAAUUGCCCUGGGUUCCACACCACAGGGGCCCCCUUGAAGCCAAGUUGCUCAGGACCCGGACUUCAGCCCCAUGUGGUGGGGCUUCGGCUUUCUGCCCUGCGCCCCAGCGAGUCUAAUACUGGCCCUGUUUGGCAGACCCCCUGAAACCUGCUUGCUGCACUGCAGGGGGCCCUGAAUCCCUGGUUGAGAACCAAUGCUCUACUGCAAGCUGAUC